rnacentral:piRNA from 1 species
UUCUGUAGAUACAUUGAUCGCAUU